CUUGAUAUGGCAAGCAUUUUAUGCAGAGGUUGGGCACUAUUGCAUGAAUUCGUGAACUUGAUCCUAACAUUAUGGGUUUUCCUGAAUUUGGUUGCUUGCCCAUGCCUGGUGUGAUUGGCGAACCAAGAGCCUCUAAUGCCAUUCACCAUUCAACGACAACUUUUCUACAAAAAGCAAAAUACUUUAUACAACCAAAGGAGGUUGUUGAGUUGGUUGAAGGCAUCCUCAGGAAUGUGUUGUUGAUGUACUGAACAUGAAAUAAUGUCUUUUCUUUUUAUGUUUGUUGUGGUUUAAUGCAUAAUGUUUGUUGUGGUUGAAAGCAUAUGUUGCCAGCAACCAAAACUGGUUUGAUAUCGGCAUUUCCAAUGGGUUAAACACUUGCUAGAAGAUAGAGUCUAUACAUAGGAUUGAGUUGCAACUCAUUACCAAGAGAUUGGAGUAACUUCGGAUCGAUGAAGGCCGAGAGGUAUGCUUCAAAGAGCAAAGUUUGCUGGCCUAACACUCACCUUGGGAUAGAUGUUGAUUGGAGAAAAAAGAGGGGAUAUACUAGUCUUGAUCAUACACCCAACAUACAGUAAUUGAAAGCAGCACUUAUUAUGACCAUUUCCCUGGUUGGAUGGAAGGCACAAGAGGUUCGAAUGUGUGAAUUCUGAAGCACUCAUCGCACAUUCAACCAUGCAUGCGCACACCGAUGUGGUGAAUAAGAUGAUUAAUUAGCAAAGGUAAGUAACAAGUACAUAAUAGUCGUCAUCAGGGAGAGAUAAUAUGCCUCAAUGGAUUUAAAUCCCAAUUGACGAGGUAUUCUUCCAUGUCCUUCUGGUGUGAAGCAUCAUGAUCACAAAGCGAUUCCAUGAUGCUAAGAAUGGGAAUUAAGUUGGAGGAAGCUGCCCCCAGCCUUGCCCCCUAAGUAUUCCAAGUAUGUCAAGGCAGCAUAGCAGUUGCUUGGUGAGGUUGUGAAUAUUAGAAAUGCUUUGAGAUCUGAGACCAACAAGAGCCAAAGCUUUCGGACAUCCGGUUCCAAGGAGAUGGAUACAGGAACAAAUGCUUCUGUAAGACCACGAUAGGUUUUUGAGAGCAGACAAAAAAUCUUACAAGUCAUGUAAGUGGGUUUUGCAAGGAGAAAAGUUCAAAGCUCAGAAUCUACUAUCAUCUGAUCGGCUCAUUUGGAUGCAGAAGUAUUAUAAGGAGAAGGGUUCCUUGAUAUUUGAGCUCUAAAUCUACUCUCAGCUCAUGACCAGCUCAUUUGGAUGUGGAAGUGGGUUUUGCAAAGGAAAGGGUCCUAAACAGUGGUGGAACAAGAAGUGCUGGAUUAAACUGUUCUGC